rnacentral:rRNA from 1 species
UACGUAGGGUGCAAGCGUUGUCCGGAAUUAUUGGGCGUAAAGAGCUCGUAGGCGGUGUGUCACGUCGGCCGUGAAAACCUGGGGCUUAACUCUGGGCGUGCGGUCGAUACGGGCAUCACUAGAGUUCGGCAGGGGAGACUGGAAUUCCUGGUGUAGCAGUGAAAUGCGUAGAAUAUCAGGAGGAAUACCGAUGGCGAAGGCAGGUCUCGUGGGCUGACACUGACGCUCAUGCACGAAGCGUGG